AAGGUGUCUUCCGCAACUUGCCUAGAGAGCUAGCCAUCUUGGAGAAUCCGGAGAUGGGGACAAAGAUCAGUGCCUGAAAGGCUCACCUUGGGCUGACACGACUCCCAGGGCUUCGGCGCAGAGGAAAGCACAUCGCUGGGAAAUCCUAGCAGGAUUUGAGAAGUCAUUCUGAGUUUACAAGGCUGCCUAGACGUCUCCUGACAGGCGAUUCGAGCCAUCUCUGAGUGGCAUGAGACACAGAUUUCCUUAACAAGGCUCGGCUGGUCAUGGAAACUGGAUGCUGCCUUCAAAAUAUAAAUAAUAUAACUUUAUUCUUCUCCAGGCAACCAGGUCUUUGAUAUCGCCUUUGGCUGAAGCAAAGUCCAAAGGUGGCCAGCAUGCUGCCAAAUAGCCCUGUUAGAUUGUAGCUUGAGGGAGGGAAACAGCACUUUCUCCAUCUUUAAGGGUUUGAAUGAUGUUACCUAAUUAUAUGAAUAUUCUGUGGAACUGAGCUAACAAAACACAGCUUCUGAGAUUUGUGAUGUGAAGAAAAUCAAGAAAAAACCACUGGUUUCUGGAUAGGCAAAAAUGCCAUAUUUUUCCUUUAAACUAAGUCGGUCUGAAUUCAGAAGACUAAGGGGUUCAUCUCAUGUCUGCUUUCUAAAGUACUUCUGUUGGUUCUUCCCGGAAUUUCAUUUACAGUUUGGUGGUGGGGGAAAUCCAUGUAGAUACAUGUUAGCCUUAAACUACUCCUAAUUUCCUGCUACUGAAUAUUGUCUUUAUAAUAACUCAUUGAUUCAGAGAAUACAGAAGGCAGAGCUUGGGUUUUCUAUUGUUCUGUCCCCUGCCCCCACCCCACACAUACAAAUUUUCCCAGUGAAGUGUUUUGUAAAAAAAAAAAACCUAACCAACCAACCAAACAAAAACCUUAGGAAAUGAAUAUUAAAAUAUUCCAAAUGAGUUUUAAAUGCUACCCCAAUCUGAGGUUUGCUUCUCAGUGAAAAAAGGCAUGGCAUAAUAGAUAUGAAAUAGCAAUUCUCUAUUUUCUGCUAAUCUAUUUACUGUGCAAAACAACCACAU
ensembl:lncRNA